ACGGUGCAGAGAUGGUUCUGGCUCUGCUGCUCUGUGUCGUGGGUCUACUCUCAGUGUCUGGCGGCUCUCAGGACACUUUAAUGUUGGAGGCAGAACCUGGAGAUAAUGUGACUCUUCACUGCCACAGCAACCUCAUAAAUGGAUCGCCGUAUAUACACUGGUUCAAGCAGAUAAAUACUUCUGCUCCAGAAUUCCUUUUAAUGCUUUACUCAGCACACGUGAUCAAACGGCCUCAUGAUUUUGAGAGAAUUACGGGGUUUGUGAACAACUCCACGACUGUUUCUCUCAUAAUACGUGAUGUCAGAUCGGCUGAUUCUGGACUCUAUUUCUGUGGCAUUCAGAGGAUGCAUGGCAACUUAACCAUCAGCAGUGCAAUACUUCUACAAGUUAAAGAUCAAGAAGCACAUGAAGCAGAAGAAGCAGAAGAAGCAGAAGAAGCAGAAGGCAGCUCUUUCAAUAUCUUCUUCAUCUUGACUGUGAUCUUCGUCGUUGCGACUGUGGUACUCAGCGCUCUACUAAUCUUAUUGAAGGCCAGAAAAUAACAUAGAAGCAGCUGAUCCUAAAGAAGACCAUGGGGUAAAAACACAAAUUUAACAGGCAAAGAUAGAAGAGCUGCAAUAAACUAUGCUAAAUGCUCACUAUAACCAACAGAUGAAGAAACCAUUUAACUUACAAUGUUUAUAAUAUAUUUAAUAUAUUAUUUUAGAUGCUUUUUUAUACACACAUUUAAUGAAGCCUGUAUUCAUAUAUUGUUAUAAAUAUGCUUAUAAUGUUUUUUGUUUGCUGCUUUAUUCUGGAUUUUUUGUUUAAUGCUGGAAAAUUGACAUGUUGACAAAAAUUGUGAUUGUUGAUUGGUACUAAAUGGCCUGAGUUAAACUACAAAGUAUGUGUUAGUGAGAUAUUCUAUGCAUGUAAAAUGCAAAACAUGAAUGUAAAUAAAUAUGUAAAUUCUU